rnacentral:sRNA from 1 species
AUUCUUCUUCCUCUUCUU